CGGAGCGUAGGGUUCUAGCGAGCCCAACCUCCCACCCGUGUUUACUGUACCUUAGUUGCUUCGGCGGGCCCGCCAUUCAUGGCCGCCGGGGGCUCUCAGCCCCGGGCCCGCGCCCGCCGGAGACACCACGAACUCUGUCUGAUCUAGUGAAGUCUGAGUUGAUUGUAUCGCAAUCAGUUAAAACUUUCAACAAUGGAUCUCUUGGUUCCGGCAUCGAUGAAGAACGCAGCGAAAUGCGAUAACUAGUGUGAAUUGCAGAAUUCCGUGAAUCAUCGAGUCUUUGAACGCACAUUGCGCCCCCUGGUAUUCCGGGGGGCAUGCCUGUCCGAGCGUCAUUGCUGCCCAUCAAGCACGGCUUGUGUGUUGGGUCGUCGUCCCCUCUCCGGGGGGGACGGGCCCCAAAGGCAGCGGCGGCACCGCGUCCGAUCCUCGAGCGUAUGGGGCUUUGUCACCCGCUCUGUAGGCCCGGCCGGCGCUUGCCGAACGCAAAUCAAUCUUUUUCCAGGUUGACCUCGGAUCAGGUAGGGAUACCCGCUGAACUUAAGCAUAUCAAUAAGCCGGAGGA
rnacentral:rRNA from 1 species